UACGUAGGGUGCGAGCGUUAAUCGGAAUUAUUGGGCGUAAAGAGCUCGUAGGCGGUUUGUCGCGUCUGCUGUGAAAACCUCAGGCUCAACCUGGGGCUUGCAGUGGGUACGGGCAGACUAGAGUGCGGUAGGGGUGACUGGAAUUCCUGGUGUAGCGGUGGAAUGCGCAGAUAUCAGGAGGAACACCGAUGGCGAAGGCAGGUCACUGGGCCGCAACUGACGCUGAGGAGCGAAAGCAUGGGGAGCGAACAGG
rnacentral:rRNA from 1 species